UACGAAGGGUGCAAGCGUUACUCGGAAUUACUGGGCGUAAAGCGUGCGUAGGUGGUUCGUUAAGUCUGAUGUGAAAGCCCUGGGCUCAACCUGGGAAUGGCAUUGGAAACUGGCGACCUAGAGUGCGGUAGAGGGUAGUGGAAUUCCCGGUGUAGCAGUGAAAUGCGUAGAGAUCGGGAGGAACAUCCGUGGCGAAGGCGACUGCCUGGACCAGCACUGACACUGAGGCACGAAAGCGUGGGGAGCAAACAGG
rnacentral:rRNA from 1 species